UACGGGGGGGGCAAGCGUUGUUCGGAAUUACUGGGCGUAAAGGGCUCGUAGGCGGCCAACUAAGUCGGAUGUGAAAUCCCCAAGCUUAACUUGGGAACUGCAUCCGAUACUGGAUGGCUUGAAUCCGGGAGAGGGAUGCAGAAUUCCAGGUGUAGCGGUGAAAUGCGUAGAUAUCGAGAGGAACACCUGCGGCGAAGGCGGGUUGCUGGGCUGAUACUGACGCUGAGGCGCGAAAGCCAGGGGAGCGAACGGG
rnacentral:rRNA from 1 species